CUUGAAAAAUGUGGCAGUGUACAGUAUGGCCUUGAAGAAUGUGACAGUGUACAGUCUGGCCAUAAAGACUGUGACAUGUACAGUAUGGCCUUGAAGAAUGUGGUAGUGUAGAGUCUCGCCCUGGAGUGUCUGGCUAUGUACAGUCUGGCCUUAAACAAUGUCAUUAUAUACAAUAUAACCUUGAAGAAUGUGGCAGUGUGCACGUGACGAUGUACAGUUUGGUCUUAUAAUCAGAAGGAAUGUUGCUGUUUACAGUCUGUUUAAGUACGGCCUGGCAUAAAGAAUGUGGCAGUGUAGAGUCUGACCAUAAAGAGUGUUGCUGGUACAGUCUGUCCUUGAAAAAUGUGGCAGUGUGAACGUGACGAUGUACAGUUUGGUCUUAUGGUCAGAAGGAAUGUUGCUGUUUACAGUCUGUUUAAGUACGGCCUGGCAUAAGGAAUGUGGCAGUAUACAGUAAGGUCCUAAAGCGUCUUGCUAUGUACAUUUGGCCUAAAGGAAAAUGGUUUUGCCAGCAACAUUUUGGGUCAAGGAGUCAUAACCGUGUUGCACCAAAUGUCACCGACCUUCAAAUACCUGUACAAACAUACAGCAUAUUACUUUAUCGUGUUAGCAUUGACAGCACUAAAUGUUUAAAGUCAUGGUGUACAUUUAAAAGCAUGUCCAUUUUACACAAUAUCACAGAGUCACAACUGACAAAUUUCAAAGCACACAAAUUUGUUUCUGUGUGUAAUGCAUUGUAUACAAGAAAACCGUGGGAUGAAGAUGCUUCGUGUUUUUUCCACGAUGCAUCAAUAAAGAAGUUCCUGCCA